UGCAGUCGAGCGGAACGAUCCUAGCUUGCUAGGAGGCGUCGAGCGGCGGACGGGUGAGUAAUGCAUAGGAAUCUGCCCGGUAGUGGGGGAUAACUUGAGGAAACUCAAGCUAAUACCGCAUACGCCCUACGGGGGAAAGCAGGGGCUCUUCGGACCUUGCGCUAUCGGAUGAGCUUAUGUCGGAUUAGCUGGUUGGUGAGGUAACGGCUCACCAAGGCGACGAUCCGUAGCUGGUCUGAGAGGAUGAUCAGCCACAUCGGGACUGAGACACGGCCCGAACUCCUACGGGAGGCAGCAGUGGGGAAUAUUGGACAAUGGGGGCAACCCUGAUCCAGCCAUGCCGCGUGUGUGAAGAAGGCCCUCGGGUUGUAAAGCACUUUCAGCGAGGAAGAAUGCUUGUCGGUUAAUACCCGGCAAGGGAGACAUCACUCGCAGAAGAAGCACCGGCUAACUCCGUGCCAGCAGCCGCGGUAAUACGGAGGGUGCGAGCGUUAAUCGGAAUUACUGGGCGUAAAGCGUGCGUAGGCGGCUUGAUAAGCCGGUUGUGAAAGCCCCGGGCUCAACCUGGGAACGGCAUCCGGAACUGUUAGGCUAGAGUGCAGGAGAGGAAGGUAGAAUUCCCGGUGUAGCGGUGAAAUGCGUAGAGAUCGGGAGGAAUACCAGUGGCGAAGGCGGCCUUCUGGACUGACACUGACGCUGAGGUACGAAAGCGUGGGUAGCAAACAGGAUUAGAUACCCUGGUAGUCCACGCCCGUAAACGAUGUCGACUAGCCGGUUGGGGUCCUCGAGACCUUUGUGGGCGCAGUUAACGCACUAAGUCGACCGCCUGGGGGAGUACGGCCCGCAAGGUUAAAACUCAAAUGAAUUGACGGGGGCCCGCACAAGCGGUGGAGCAUGUGGUUUAAUUCGAUGCAACGCGAGAACCUUACC
rnacentral:rRNA from 1 species